rnacentral:rRNA from 1 species
UACGGGGGGAGCAAGCGUUGUUCGGAUUUACUGGGCGUAAAGGGCGCGUAGGCGGUCGUUCAAGUCGAGUGUGAAAGCCCCCGGCUCAACUGGGGAGGGUCAUUCGAUACUGAUCGACUUGAAGGCAGGAGAGGGAAGUGGAAUUCCCGGUGUAGUGGUGAAAUGCGUAGAUAUCGGGAGGAACACCAGUGGCGAAGGCGACUUCCUGGCCUGUUCUUGACGCUGAGGCGCGAAAGCUAGGGGAGCAAACGGG